UUGAGGAGACGGAUUAUGUCUCGGAUGUACAUAGAUAGACUUCAGGCUAUUUAGGGAGUCACAUCCGAUUUGUCCGAGGAGAAUCACUUGAACGCACAUCACCUGGAUGAGGCUGUCCAAGAUCUAGACUUCUGAGCUUCGACUAAGUGAUGAAUUUGGGCCAAAUACUGUUUGAUUGGACACACAAAACUUCAACAAAAAAGAUAAGGGCGCUGAGAGCUGAUUGGCCGAUGACAGGUAUAUUACCGGCUGGAUCUUCAGGGAAAGCUGUAUGUUCUCCGGCUGGCUCUUGCAGGAUUUUCUGGGAAUUCGUGGAAAAAGAUACUAAUGGCAUUUAAAUCCACAUCACUGUAAAACCAGUGCAAGAUCCGCUUCCCAGAGCUUCCAGGACGAACGUUUGACCAGUUUCUCUGGGAAAGAAGGAAAACCCAUCAGGUCUGCCGGAAACUCACCGGACUCGACAAUGAAAUGAAUAUAGAGUAUUAAUGGAGAUCAGCAGCAGCGUGCUGGGAUGAGUCUGGCUGUAUGCCGUCUCAAACUGUAACAAAAGGAAACGGGUUUUGCUGAGACACCUCUUGCUCAGAGGA